CUCAGGUGGGAAAUCAGAGAGGAGUUCGUACUCGUACGGCAGAGAGUCCAACCCACACUGCCACCAGUCGGUAUUGGGGGGAGAGAUGGGUUUGGGGAGCCCCGGUGGCGCGGCGUCGCCCACCAAGCCGGCCGGGCAGUACUACCAGCACUACGGCUCCAACCCUCGGAGGAGAACACUGCCGAUGGACACCAUGGAGGUUCACCCCAAAAAAGUGCGGAAGGUUCCUCCCGGCUUGCCGUCCUCAGU